UGCUGAUGACGCAGUCGGCGCGGCGGCCCUAGCGACGCGGUUACUAGGGAGCGGCGAGCCGAGACGGCUACAUGGACGCCGCUACCGCCCCGCACCGUAUCCCCCCCGAGAUGCCCCAGUACGGGGAGGAGAACCACAUCUUCGAGUUGAUGCAGGUGACCGGACACCCCUGCCCGUCGCGACGCUGGCGGCGGCUCGGGAGCCUCCACUGCGACGUCGGGUGCGCGGCCGGGACCCGCAGCUGGGGCCGAGUCGCGCGCCCACGAAGCAGCCCAACUCGGGAUAACAUGCUGGAGCAACUCCUGAUCCACCAGCCCGAGGAUCCCAUCCCCUUCAUGAUCCAGCACUUGCAUAGAGACAACGACAAUGUGCCCAGGAUUGUAAUAUUAGGUCCACCCGCCUCGGGGAAAACAACAAUAGCAAUGUGGCUCUGCAAACAUCUGAACAGCAGUCUCCUCACCCUGGAGAACCUGAUCUUAAACGAGUUUUCCUAUACGGCCACCGAAGCCAGAAGGCUUUAUCUGCAAAGGAAGACAGUUCCCAGCGCGCUGCUCGUCCAGCUGAUUCAGGAACGCCUGGCUGAAGAGGAUUGCAUCAAGCAGGGCUGGAUUCUGGAUGGCAUCCCUGAGACGCGUGAGCAGGCUCUGAGGAUCCAGACCCUGGGGAUCACACCCAGACACGUCAUCGUGCUGAGUGCUCCAGACACGGUCCUGAUCGAGAGAAACUUGGGGAAGAGAAUCGACCCUCAAACUGGAGAGAUUUAUCACACCACCUUUGACUGGCCACCCGAAUCUGAAAUCCAGAACCGUCUCAUGGUGCCAGAGGACAUCUCAGAGCUGGAGACGGCUCAGAAACUGCUGGAGUAUCAUAGGAACAUCAUCAGGGUCAUUCCCUCCUACCCCAAAAUCCUCAAAGUCAUCAGUGCUGACCAGCCAUGUGUGGACGUCUUCUACCAGGCUCUGACCUAUGUCCAAAGCAACCAUCGUACUAAUGCCCCGUUCACCCCGAGGGUGCUGCUGCUCGGGCCUGUGGGCAGUGGGAAAAGUCUGCAGGCCGCCCUCCUGGCCCAGAAAUACAGGCUUGUCAACGUCUGCUGUGGGCAACUGCUGAAAGAGGCUGUGGCAGACAGGACCACGUUUGGCGAGCUCAUCCAGCCCUUCUUUGAAAAGGAGAUGGCAGUUCCUGACAGCCUCCUCAUGAAGGUGCUGAGCCAGCGCCUGGACCAGCAGGACUGCAUCCAGAAAGGCUGGGUGCUACACGGCGUCCCGCGGGACCUGGACCAGGCACACCUGCUGAACAGCCUGGGCUACAAUCCCAACAGCACCACUGCUCUGGAGAGUAGAUGGAGGAUGCGUGCAUGUGGUUGAUAGCUUGAAAGAGCUGUACGGAUACUGUGGAUGGCUAUGACCUGCUCUGCACGGUGUUUUUCCUGAAUGUGCCAUUUGAUUCCAUCAUGGAGCGGCUGACUCUGAGAAGAAUUGAUCCAGUCACUGGGGAAAGGUACCACCUCAUGUACAAGCCACCUCCCACCAUGGAGAUCCAGGCUCGCCUCCUGCAGAACCCAAAGGAUGCUGAAGAGCAGGUCAAGCUGAAAAUGGACCUGUUCUACAGGAACUCGGCUGACUUGGAGCAGUUGUAUGGGUCGGCCAUCACCCUCAAUGGGGACCAGGACCCAUACACAGUCUUCGAAUACAUCGAGAGCGGGAUCAUUAAUCCCCUGCCCAAGAAAAUCCCCUGAUGGGUUCAGAGCCAGGAGCGCCGCCCCAGGGAAAGAGUUAAUCCCCUGCCCCCAGCGCCCCAGCCUCGGCACAGCUCCCCUAAAAAGCCAAUAAAGCCUGCUGGAUACAGUCUCGUA